AGAGCACAGAACAUACAUAAAGCAAGUACAUAUCAGAAGAAGAAGCACUGAAGAAAGAAGAGCUCAGGAACAAUGGCCCACCUGACACUUAUUGCCAGAGCCAGUGAUGGACUACCUCUGUCCCCAUCCAUUGUCAAUGAAGAGUCUGGCCGGGAUUAUGCUGAAUACCAACCCAAGGCCAAGCAGAUAUUCCGCAAGCUGUCGUCAGUCAGCCCCCCUCGAUGCUCAAUCGAGUGUGACCCGGGUCGUAUGGUGUUCCACUACAUCCUUGAGGGAAUAUGCUACCUCGCCCUAUGUGACCCCACCUAUCCUGCCAAGCUGGCCUUUAACUACCUCGAGAAUCUACACAAAGACUUCAGUGAGCAACAUGGCAACGAUGUACACAAGGCCAGUCGACCGUACCACUUCAUUGAGUUUGAUCUCAGUGACAAAGUGGGGAAGCUGGUCGACCACUCUUGUGCCAGAGGCUAAUGGCUGAUCAGCUAAUGCAGCAUGUGAGCAUCUCCUGGCUACUGUGGAUUGGUUCUGGACUGCUAGUUCAUGCUCUUGUCUAUUGGAGACAAUAUCUGCCAAGUUUCACCAGAGAUGUGUACAAGUAUGGUAAGCUGAGGAGUGAGAGUGGCUGGAGCUGGAUGAGCCCUAGUGUGCCCAAGACUCAAGGAGGUCAGUGAGGGUCAAUAUAUACAGUGUAUCAGUCUACCUCUUGUAACGAGAACCCCCUACAAGUCUAGCUUGUAACACCUAGCUAAGUACUGGAUUGUGAUUUACAAUAGUGAGCUCCCUAGCUGAGACUGUCCUGACUUGUAGUUGUUGUAAUUGCAUUGUCCCAGUCUAAGGAGGUCUUUAUUCCCCUCUGCAGGUGGUUCACCCACUUCUACGUGUGGGGGAUGGUGUGGAACUACUCUGUAUUCCUCUACUAUACCAGCCACUGUCUACUGCACACACGACUACCGCUAUUGGGACCAACAGCACUGCUGCAUUUGAAUUCAGGUAUAGUCAUAUCGUAUAGCGGGUAUUUUUCGGGGGACAAAAUGUUUGUUGUUCAGCAAUAUUGAGACAUUUCGUGGGUAAUAUUUUCAUGGUUGGAGCAGGUAACGGUAGGCAAAGUCGCUUCAUUCGUGGUUAGAGGUCCAACCACGAACACCACAAAUAUUUUGCCCCACGAAAAUUACCCACCUCUGUACGGUAUUCAGUCUAGUAAUAGUCCUAUUCGUUUAAGAACCUGGAAUUUUGAUUGCUAUUUGAACGCCCACUAACUACUUCCUGUAUAGCUUCCGCAGUAAAAUUGUGCUGAGCUGGCACACCCUUUUACAUUGUAAAAUCAAUGUGUUUUUGCAGCCUCUGCAUUCUGCAAUGCAUGCGCUAUUAUUCUAAAUAAAGGAAGUUUGUGAAAUAUUGAAGUAAGAGCUACACAAUGGUUUUUGUCCCAGAGAGUGUUUGUCAACUAUCAGUGAGCUAGCUGGUCUUGAAGAUACCACAACUCACCCCUUGCUGGUCUGAUUGUAGCCACUCUGUUGUUCCUCUGGGCCUACACAUAUCAGUACUGAUGUCACGUCAUCCUUGCACAACUCAGAGCAGUCAAGAACAAGCCACAGUACGGCGGCUGUCAUUGCCAAGCAGACUCACGUUUGCAUAGACACAAGUUUGAGGACUAUCCAAACAGCAGACAAAUUGUUAUGACCAUUAGUUGCUAAUAUAAUUUAUGCUAUGUACAUGCAGUACUGUAUGGUAUCAUUCAUAUUCUCCAAUCAAUAAUCUAUCAAAUUAAUGAUCGAAAAAAUUAAUUUUGAA